rnacentral:lncRNA from 10 species
GUCAAGAUGGCGGCCUGGAAGUAGCUCCUGCGCGCUGCUCUCACAGGGAGGAGACAAAGGGCUGGUGAACACUGACCCUACAAGCUGAUAUCUAAGAAACCGUGUCGGACUCGAUCAAGGCAGCAAGCCGACACAGAGAACAGAGAGGAGUGCAGCUGGGCAGCAGCCUGUCUGGGAUAAACGCGGAGCCAGGAGAAGCUCCCCAACACAGGAAAGGGAUUUGAACAACUUGCAAAUACACCAUGCUGGACACACUAAGAUAAGCAAAA